AUUUAAGGCCCUUUGUUCUCUGUAUUUUUCCCAAAACAUAUCCCCCUUUGCAGCCGAAAAUCACAGCUUGAAAACUUAACUUUUAGGGUUCCCUUUUUAACAUCUGAAUCACCAUUGUUUUGGUGACCAUCUGCAUGUAAAAAGCCUUCGUUCUCCCCGUUGAAGGCACUUGUACCAAAUUUAAAAAGAUUCACUAAUGGUAUGGAUGAUGAUCGGGUUUUACCAACGGAAGCGUCAAUUUUGGAAAUCUGAAUCAUCUGUACGGAAGAGAUGACCUGAAGACGUGGAGGCGGAGUGUGAAGACUCUCGUGUGAGGCCACAUUUCUGGUGCUAUUCUGGCUUGUUCCAGAAUACUCUUGUCAUUCACAAAAUACUGAAAUAAUUUUGGGUGUAUUGGGCCUCGGGUUUUGGGCUUAUUUAGGCCAAUUUUAUUGGGAUUUUGGAGAUUUAGAAUUUGGGUCAAAUAUUAUGUAAUUGUGUUAAAGAGUCUUGGAGUAUUUGGUUAGAAAAUAAGUUUAUUUUAUUUUAGCCCAAA